CCUCGAUCUGUUUCUGCUUAUUAAUCUUGUUCUAUUCAAUAUGCUCACUAUCAGUAAUUACUUUAUCUCUGUGUGGAAGACAGAUCAAGAGAUGUACAUUGGGAUACCAAUACCAGUAAUACAGAAGAAUCAAAGUUCUAUGGAACAAACGCUUAGAAAGAUUGGAUGAUUUGAAUGCAAGUUUUCCUGCUCGUUUGUUGGAAGAUAGUAUUCAAAUGACAGAGUCAUACAGAACCUUUUAAUGUGUGCAUGUUCUACAAGCUGCUUGUGUGUACAUUCUUUUAUUUGUUAUUUGUUAUUGUAGCACAGCUGCCCAUUGUAUUAGUUCCAAUUAGAUUGUGUCAGCAUUUAUUUUAUUUGUUUACUUAAGCAUGCAUUUAUGGCAUAGUUAAGGGAUGGCUACUCUAUAUGUGUUAUACAUAGUAAUUUUGGCAUAGUUUUUAAUAUGUUUAAAAUUUA